CCCAAGGACUUGACGGUACCCCACAUCCACCUACAGGAGCCUGUCCUGUAAUCGAUAACCCCCGUUUAACCUCCACAUUUCUAGUUAAAUCAGCCUGUAUACCUCCGUCGUCAGCUUACCUCGUGAGCGAAAUUUAGUGAGCUUAAUGUCUCUACAUCAAUACUUCAGGUCAAGGUGCAGUAAAUGAAAUGGGAAGAGAUGGGCUACACUCUCUAACCUAGAACAUACGAAAGACUAUAUAUGAAACCCUAUUCAAAAGGCGGAUUUAGCAGUAAAAAGGAACCAUAGUGUCCUUUUUAACCCGGCACUGGGGUGUGUACAC
rnacentral:rRNA from 1 species